CAAGGUUUCCGUAGGUGAACCUGCGGAAGGAUCAUUAAAGAUUAUGAAUGAAUAGAUUACUGGGGGAAUCGUCUGAACAAGGCCUGCGCUUAAUUGCGCGGCCAGUUCUUGAUUCUCUGCUAUCAGUUUUCUAUUUCUCAUCCUAAACACAAUGGAGUUUUUUCUCUAUGAACUACUUCCCUGGAGAGCUCGUCUCUCCAGUGGACAUAAACACAAACAAUAUUUUGUAUUAUGAAAAACUAUUAUACUAUAAAAUUUAAUAUUCAAAACUUUCAACAACGGAUCUCUUGGUUCUCGCAUCGAUGAAGAACGCAGCGAAUUGCGAUAUGUAUUGUGAAUUGCAGAUUUUCGUGAAUCAUCAAAUCUUUGAACGCACAUUGCGCCCUCUGGUAUUCCAGGGGGCAUGCCUGUUUGAGCGUCAUUUCUCUCUCAAACCUUUGGGUUUGGUAGUGAGUGAUACUCGUCUCGGGUUAACUUGAAAGUGGCUAGCCGUUGCCAUCUGCGUGAGCAGGGCUGCGUGUCAAGUCUAUGGACUCGACUCUUGCACAUCUACGUCUUAGGUUUGCGCCAAUUCGUGGUAAGCUUGGGUCAUAGAGACUCAUAGGUGUUAUAAAGACUCGCUGGUGUUUGUCUCCUUGAGGCAUACGGCUUUAACCAAAACUCUCAAAGUUUGACCUCAAAUCAGGUAGGAGUACCCGCUGAACUUAAGCAUAUC
rnacentral:misc_RNA from 1 species